ensembl:lncRNA
CGGCAAAGUUCGAACCACUUCAUGAACCAGUCACGUGGUACAGCCGGGCAGCGAGGCUUCGGACGUCAUCAUUUUCAGCUCCUCCCAUAAAUGAAGCAAGCCUCGAUACGCGCUUCGCGGAAACGCCCCCUCCAUUACUCGACACACGCUCCGAAGCCUCGAUACAGAACGUCCCAUCACUACUGGACAUGCUUAUUUUGUGGACUGUGUGGAAGCAGAAUAUGUGAGGAUUACUACUGCAUGUUCCAAGGCUUUUUACACAACUUGACCAAUACACUGACCAGCUCAUAAAAGUCUUCAAGAAAAAAGGAGGCGUUGCAGGGAAGAAAAUUAGACAAACUUUGGCCCCAGCCACACAGAAGGAAAGUAUUGAAAAGGGGAGGGAGUGUGUCCUCAGGGCACUACCUUUUUACCUGAAUGAAGACCCAAGCAUCCUCUUCAAAGAAUAAUUGCUACAGCUGUUCAGAGGGAGCUGGAACAAAUUACCCUUGCUAUCUUUACCAUCGAAAGAGCUGAUGCCAGCACUCCUCCAGCCGAUGUGGGUAUAACCAUCUAGUGUGUCCUGCAUGACCUGGAAGACCUGGCCUCUGCAUGUGCACUCUUAAUGGGUGGGAUAUAUGCACUGAAUCUCAGUUAACCUCAAGACUGAAAGCUUUCUUUGAAGUACUUCAGAAGCUCUUCCUUCAUCUGUAUGUCAGCAUACUCUUGACCAAGGUACAAUUGCUCAAGAAUACACUGAAUGAAUAAGCCAACCUUUAAUUUGGAUGAUGAAUGUUCUGUCAGAUGGACAGAAGUUUUUCGGAGGCUGAAUGGGAAUAAAAUGGUAAUUUGUAAAUGACAGAUAACGGGAAAAUUACAUUUAAGAGAAAUUUAGAACAUUUUGAAAAGUUUGUAAACUACUACAAUUUGAGAGAUUUUACUGUUGUGGGGGGCUAGUAAGAGACAAUCAAAAGUAUUGAGAUUUAAAGGAUUUAAUUGAGAGAUGAUACUGCACCAGAAAUGUUGAAGGGUGGUGUGUAUAUUAGCGUUCAAGGCAUAUUGUUAUGAGGUGGAAAUAUGUUCAUAUUCAGUUUGUGUUACAUUGUGUGCAUUGUAAAGGUAAUUGCAAUACAUACUAAAAAUAAGGGUAAGUUAGGAGGUUGAUCUGAUAUCCUCGUGUUGGUGUUGUUCCCAGAUCAUCAUACUAAAUGUUGUUCCAGGAUCAACAUUGCAAGUGACCAAUCAGAAUGUUGUGACGUCAUACUUUUGCGACUUCGGGAAAAACCGGCGUAAAACAAAAAACUGUACUUAAGCUGCGUGAAACCGCCUCUGCCCGCCGAUCAACUGACCCUAACCCUAACCCUAACCCUUUAAUAAACAGUAAGCAGAAUUGAUAUUGUCCUUGCACGAAUGGCUUGGCGCGCAAAAGAAUAACGUCACAACAAUGUGACAACAUUUUCAUGAUGGUCUGGGAACAACACCAACACGAGGAUAUCAGAUCAUCCAAGUUGGGAAUGCAGGAUGAAUGUAUAUUUUGUGGACUUUUAAAGACGAACAAUUGUUUCCAUGUUAAAAUGUUUACAUCUGAAGUUUUUUGCCCAAACACUAGUAAAAUAAAUGUUGACAGUGGCAAGUGUUAAAUGGUUACUGCUGUGCUGUUGCAAAAAAACUGAACGCUGACAAGCUUACAUAAAUUUUUUUUAAAUUGUGGCUGUUGAGGUGGACACUUCACUUUGCAUUGUUAAAGGAAAGCACUUCAUUGGCAUUGUGUUACUGGACUGACCCUAAGCAAUCAUUGCAAAUAGCAACUUUGCUAUCCAUUUUAGACACUAAAAGAAAAAAACACUCACAGACCUUACUAGCAUCACAUGUGCAUAACUCAAGUGUCAUCUUAUCAAUGUGUUAUGUGAUCUUCAAUGCGUUUUUUUUUUCUCUCUUCUAUUUCUGGUAGAUACAGACAUUUAAUUUAAAGUCUUGAUGUUGCAUCUGUCUACAUACUGUUAAUUACUAACCCUAAUGAGCUGUUGUGUUUUAUUUUGGACUGGGUUUACACAAAUGCUCACUGAAUGUGUUGGCAAUAAAAGAAAUUUUAAAAAAUA